rnacentral:rRNA from 1 species
AGAGUUUGAUCCUGGCUCAGAGCGAACGCUGGCGGCAGGCCUAACACAUGCAAGUCGAACGAACUCUUCGGAGUUAGUGGCGGACGGGUGAGUAACACGUGGGAACGUGCCUUUAGGUUCGGAAUAACUCAGGGAAACUUGUGCUAAUACCGAAUGUGCCCUUCGGGGGAAAGAUUUAUCGCCUUUAGAGCGGCCCGCGUCUGAUUAGCUAGUUGGUGAGGUAAAGGCUCACCAAGGCGACGAUCAGUAGCUGGUCUGAGAGGAUGAUCAGCCACAUUGGGACUGAGACACGGCCCAAACUCCUACGGGAGGCAGCAGUGGGGAAUCUUGCGCAAUGGGCGAAAGCCUGACGCAGCCAUGCCGCGUGAAUGAUGAAGGUCUUAGGAUUGUAAAAUUCUUUCAGUAA